rnacentral:rRNA from 1 species
UGCAAGUCGAGCGGUAGAGAGAAGCUUGCUUCUCUUGAGAGCGGCGGACGGGUGAGUAAUGCCUAGGAAUCUGCCUGGUAGUGGGGGAUAACGUUCGGAAACGGACGCUAAUACCGCAUACGUCCUACGGGAGAAAGCAGGGGACCUUCGGGCCUUGCGCUAUCAGAUGAGCCUAGGUCGGAUUAGCUAGUUGGUGAGGUAAUGGCUCACCAAGGCGACGAUCCGUAACUGGUCUGAGAGGAUGAUCAGUCACACUGGAACUGAGACACGGUCCAGACUCCUACGGGAGGCAGCAGUGGGGAAUAUUGGACAAUGGGCGAAAGCCUGAUCCAGCCAUGCCGCGUGUGUGAAGAAGGUCUUCGGAUUGUAAAGCACUUUAAGUUGGGAGGAAGGGUUGUAGAUUAAUACUCUGCAAUUUUGACGUUACCGACAGAAUAAGCACCGGCUAACUCUGUGCCAGCAGCCGCGGUAAUACAGAGGGUGCAAGCGUUAAUCGGAAUUACUGGGCGUAAAGCGCGCGUAGGUGGUUUGUUAAGUUGGAUGUGAAAUCCCCGGGCUCAACCUGGGAACUGCAUUCAAAACUGACUGACUAGAGUAUGGUAGAGGGUGGUGGAAUUUCCUGUGUAGCGGUGAAAUGCGUAGAUAUAGGAAGGAACACCAGUGGCGAAGGCGACCACCUGGACUAAUACUGACACUGAGGUGCGAAAGCGUGGGGAGCAAACAGGAUUAGAUACCCUGGUAGUCCACGCCGUAACGAUGUCAACUAGCCGUUUGGAAGCCUUGAGCUUUUAGUGGCGCAGCUAACGCAUUA